CCUACGGGAGGCAGCAGUGGGGAAUAUUGCACAAUGGGGGAAACCCUGAUGCAGCGACGCCGCGUGAGUGAAGAAGUAUUUCUGUAUUUAAAGCUCUAUCAGCAGGGGAGUAAAUGACUGUACCUGAUUAAAAAGCCCCGGCUAACUAUGUGCCAGCAGCCGCGGUAAUACGUAGGGGGCAAGCAUUAUCCGGAUUUACUGGGUGUAAAGGGAGCGUAGACGGCAGAACAAGUCUGCAGUGAAAUGCCGGGGCUUAACCCCGGAACUGCUUUGGAAACUGUGCAGCUAGAGUGCAGGCGAGGUAAGCGGAAUUCGUAGUGUAGCGGUGAAAUGCGUAGAUAUUAGGAGGAACACCAGUGGCGAAGGCGGCUUACUGGACUGUAACUGACGUUGAGGCUCGAAAGCGUGGGGAGCAAACAGGAUUAGAUACCCGGGUAGUC
rnacentral:rRNA from 1 species